GAUGAACGCUAGCGGGAGGCCUAAUACAUGCAAGUCGAACGGUAACAGGAAUAGCAAUAUUUGCUGACGAGUGGCGUACGGGUGCGUAACACGUACACAAUCUGCCUUAUACUGGAGCAUACCCCCAAGAAAUUGGGAUUAAUUCUCCAUAAUAUAUUUGAGGGGCAUCCUUUGAAUAUUAAAACUCCGGUGGUAUAAGAUGAGUGUGCGCCCGAUUAGAUAGUUGGUGAGGUAACGGCUCACCAAGUCAACGAUCGGUAGCUGGUCUGAGAGGACGAUCAGCCACACGGGCACUGAGACACGGGCCCGACUCCUACGGGAGGCAGCAGUAGGGAAUAUUGGACAAUGGGCGCAAGCCUGAUCCAGCCAUCCCGCGUGAAGGAUUAAGGCCCUCUGGGUUGUAAACUUCUUUUCUCUGGGAAUAAAAAGUGGGAUUUAUCCUGCCUUGAAGGUACCAGAGGAAUAAGCACCGGCUAACUCCGUG
rnacentral:rRNA from 1 species